rnacentral:rRNA from 1 species
AUUGAACGCUGGCGGCAGGCCUAACACAUGCAAGUCGAGCGGAGCGGCGGACGGGUGAGUAAUGCCUAGGAAUCUACCUGGUAGUGGGGGAUACCGUCCGGAAACGGGCGCUCAUACCGCAUACUCUCAGAUGAGCCUAGGUGGGAUUAGCUAGUUGGUGGGGUAAAGGCCUACCAAGGCGACGAUCCGUAACUGGUCUGAGAGGAUGAUCAGUCACACUGGAACGGAGACACGGCCCAGACGCCUACGGGAGGCAGAAGUGGGGAAUAUUGGACAAUGGGCGAAAGCCUGAGCCAGCCAUGCCGCGUGUGUGAAGAAGGUCUUCGGAUGGUAAAGCACUUUAAGUUGGGAGGCGUUACCAACAGAAUAAGCACCGGCUAACUUCGUGCCAGCAGCCGCGGUAAUAC